rnacentral:tRNA from 1 species
AUUGCUUUGGCAGAGAAGUGCACUAAAUUUAGAAUUUAUUAAUGUAUAUGGAGUACAGGCAAUA